GAUGAAGAACGUAGCGAAAUGCGAUAAGUAAUGUGAAUUGCAGAAUUCAGUGAAUCAUCGAAUCUUUGAACGCACAUUGCGCCCAUUAGUAUUCUAUUGGGCAUGCCUGUUCGAGCGUCAUUAAGUCCACUUAAGCCCUGCUUAGUGUUGGGAGACUGCUCCAGCGGUGCUACCCUGUAGCUACCCUGCAGCUCCUCAAAGACAGCGGCGGAGUUGUGGUAUCCUCUGAGCUUAGUAACUUGUUCUAGCUUUCGAGUACACCACUUCCCCUGCCGUAAAACCCUUAAUUUUUAAUGGUUGACCUCGGAUCAGGUAGGAAUACCCGCUGAACUUAAGCAUAUCAAUAAGCGGAGGA
rnacentral:misc_RNA from 1 species